UACAGAGGUCUCAAGCGUUGUUCGGAUUCAUUGGGCGUAAAGGGUGUGUAGGUGGCGCGCUAAGUCGGGUGUGAAAUUUCGGAGCUUAACUCCGAAACUGCAUUCGAUACUGCCGUGCUUGAGGACUGGAGAGGAGACUGGAAUUUACGGUGUAGCGGUGAAAUGCGUAGAUAUCGUAAGGAAGACCAGUGGCGAAGGCGGGUUUCUGGACAGUUCCUGACGCUGAGGCACGAAGGUCAGGGGAGCAAACGGG
rnacentral:rRNA from 1 species